rnacentral:rRNA from 1 species
AUUGAACGCUGGCGGCAUGCCUUACACAUGCAAGUCGAACGGCAGCACGGGAGCAAUCCUGGUGGCGAGUGGCGAACGGGUGAGUAAUAUAUCGGAACGUGCCCAGUCGUGGGGAUAACGUAGCGAAAGCUACGCUAAUACCGCAUACGAUCUAUGGAUGAAAGCGGGGGAUCGCAAGACCUCGCGCGAUUGGAGCGGCCGAUAUCAGAUUAGGUAGUUGGUGAGGUAAAGGCUCACCAAGCCGACGAUCUGUAGCUGGUCUGAGAGGACGACCAGCCACACUGGGACUGAGACACGGCCCAGACUCCUACGGGAGGCAGCAGUGGGGAAUUUUUGGACAAUGGGCGCAAGCCUGAUCCAGCAAUGCCGCGUGCAGGAUGAAGGCCUUCGGGUUGUAACUAGCUUUGUUACGGAACGAAACGGUAGAGCUCUAAUACAGUUUGCUAAUGACGGUACCGUAAGAAUAAG